rnacentral:rRNA from 1 species
GUACACAAAAAUGCACAUACUGUGAGCUCGAUGAGUAGGGCGGGACACGUGGUAUCCUGUCUGAAUAUGGGGGGACCAUCCUCCAAGGCUAAAUACUCCUGACUGACCGAUAGUGAACCAGUACCGUGAGGGAAAGGCGAAAAGAACCCCGGCGAGGGGAGUGAAAAAGAACCUGAAACCGUGUACGUACAAGCAGUGGGAGCCUCUUAAUGGGGUGACUGCGUACCUUUUGUAUAAUGGGUCAGCGACUUAUAUUCUGUAGCAAGGUUAACCGAAUAGGGGAGCCGAAGGGAAACCGAGUCUUAACUGGGCGUUAAGUUGCAGGGUAUAGACCCGAAACCCGGUGAUCUAGCCAUGGGCAGGUUGAAGGUUGGGUAACACUAACUGGAGGACCGAACCGACUAAUGUUGAAAAAUUAGCGGAUGACUUGUGGCUGGGGGUGAAAGGCCAAUCAAACCGGGAGAUAGCUGGUUCUCCCCGAAAGCUAUUUAGGUAGCGCCUCGUGAAUUCAUCUCCGGGGGUAGAGCACUGUUUCGGCAAGGGGGUCAUCCCGACUUACCAACCCGAUGCAAACUGCGAAUACCGGAGAAUGUUAUCACGGGAGACACACGGCGGGUGCUAACGUCCGUCGUGAAGAGGGAAACAACCCAGACCGCCAGCUAAGGUCCCAAAGUCAUGGUUAAGUGGGAAACGAUGUGGGAAGGCCCAGACAGCCAGGAUGUUGGCUUAGAAGCAGCCAUCAUUUAAAGAAAGCGUAAUAGCUCACUGGUCGAGUCGGCCUGCGCGGAAGAUGUAACGGGGCUAAACCAUGCACCGAAGCUGCGGCAGCGACACUAUGUGUUGUUGGGUAGGGGAGCGUUCUGUAAGCCUGUGAAGGUGUACUGUGAGGUAUGCUGGAGGUAUCAGAAGUGCGAAUGCUGACAUAAGUAACGAUAAAGCGGGUGAAAAGCCCGCUCGCCGGAAGACCAAGGGUUCCUGUCCAACGUUAAUCGGGGCAGGGUGAGUCGACCCCUAAGGCGAGGCCGAAAGGCGUAGUCGAUGGGAAACAGGUUAAUAUUCCUGUACUUGGUGUUACUGCGAAGGGGGGACGGAGAAGGCUAUGUUGGCCGGGCGACGGUUGUC